GAUGAACGCUAGCGACAGGCUUAACACAUGCAAGUCGAGGGGCAGCACGGUGUAGCAAUACAUUGGUGGCGACCGGCGCACGGGUGAGUAACGCGUAUGCAACCUACCUAUCAGAGGGGAAUAACCCGGCGAAAGUCGGACUAAUACCGCAUAAAACAGGGGUUCCACAUGGAAAUAUUUGUUAAAGAUUUAUCGCUGAUAGAUAGGCAUGCGUUCCAUUAGAUAGUUGGUGGGGUAACGGCCCACCAAGUCCGCGAUGGAUAGGGGUUCUGAGAGGAAGGUCCCCCACAUUGGUACUGAGACACGGCCCAA
rnacentral:rRNA from 1 species